AGGAGGUGCUAGGGGAGGAUGGAGGAAGUGAAUGACCCAGCUCAGGACGUGGUGAGGGAGGAUGGAGGAAGUGCUUCCCUUUAAAUGCUUCCCCUUUGCGGGGGCUCACCUAAGGCCCAGGGAGGGCCACGACUCUCAUGUGGGGCAGGCCCCACCAGCACCUCCCUCCAUCCUGCCCCCUGUCCUUCCCCUCCGUCAUCUAGAGCCAGCCUCUGCCAGCACAGCUCAGAGUCGCAUUCUCUGCUAGGCCGCCAGCCCGACUCUACAGAAUGCACACCUGGAGCCAUAUGGAAUCUCAGGAACCUGCAAGGCUUCCCUCCCACUACGCGGACUAAGGGCAAGGCUCUCAGAAAGAUUUCUAGGAUGUAUGUGCUGCAAGUAGGAAGGCCAGUGGUUGAUUAGAAUGGGAUCGUACGAGUCCUAAUGGAUACGUAACGCUCGAGCAGCCGGUACAAACGGUGGGCCCUGCACGCCUCCGCUAAGUUACCUCUCACUCCACCUGUUCCACAUGGUUUUCGCUCCGCUGGGCCAAUGCCUCUACCUACAGCACGUAGAGGAACAUCAGACUGAUUUCUGCUGAACACUCCUUUUCAUCCCCCUAAGGGACAAUGCGGGUACCGUGUCCUUAGUUUUUCUCAAUCAUCUUUCUUAUUUUUCUUAAUUCCCUUAAGAACUCUGAUCUUGUUUCCCUCUCUUUGUUCUGUUUGUGAUCCUCUGAAAAUGACCCUACCCUUAAUUUAAUUAAAACGAGCUGUUUACCCACUAGAAUGAUACAGUUAAAAAGUUUGACAAUACAAAGUGUUGGCAGGGCCACAGAAUCACUGGAAUUCUUAAAUGUUGCUUAUG
rnacentral:lncRNA from 1 species